ACGGAAGGCAGCAGUGAGGAAUAUUGGACAAUGGGGGCAACCCUGAUCCAGCCAAACCGCGUGAGGGAUGAAGGUCCUACGGAUCGUAAACCUCUUUUAUGUGGGAAUAAUUGCUGGUAUGCAUACCAGCUUGAAGGUACCACUUGAAUAAGCAUCGGCUAACUCCGUGCCAGCAGCCGCGGUAAUACGGAGGAUGCAGGCGUUAUCCGGAUUUAUUAGGUUUAAAGGGUGCGCAGGCGGCACGUUAAGUCAGCGGUGAAAUGCAGGGGCUCAACCCCGGCACUGCCGUUGAAACUGGCGAGCUCGAGUACGGAUGAAGUCGGCGGAAUGUGAUGUGUAGCGGUGAAAUGCUUAGAUAUGUCACAGAACACCGAUUGCGAAGGCAGCUGACUAAUCCGCAACUGACGCUCAGGCACGAAAGCGUGGGGAUCGAACAGGAUUAGAUACCCUGGUA
rnacentral:rRNA from 1 species